AUGGUGGACCCACAAGGAUUUGAGUCUAUGUACAAAAUAAGAAGAAGCACCUUCAGUUACAUUUGCAACUUGGUGAGGUUGCCAUUUUUGGAAGAUAUGAUGGCGAGGGAUCACACCUUUGUUGAUGGGAGAGUAAUGUCUUUACAAGAUCGAGUAGCCACUGCUCUGAGAAUGUUGAAUUCUGGUGAACCACCGGUGGUCAUAGGAUCCUAUCUUGGUGUCAACGAGUCCACUAUCUCGCUGGUAACUCAGAGGUUUAUUGAGGAUAUUCAGGAGCGAGUGUUGCACCAUUUGGACUGGCCAUACAAUUUCCAAGCAAUGGAGAAGAUCAAGUGCAGGUUUGACAAGAUGUACGGCUUGCCAAAUUGCUGCGGUGUUGUACAUACAACUUACUUUGAAUUUGGAUCACCAAAACUUGACCAUGAGGAGAACAUUGACACACUAAUGCAAGCCGUUGUUAAUCCAGAUAUGAGGUUCACAAAUAUUUAG
rnacentral:rRNA from 1 species